UCCCAGGAUCCACCUCUGAUGUUCAGUGAAGAGGACCGGAAAAGUCUGCUAGAGCAGUACCAUCUGGGUCUGGAUCAAAAACGCAGAAAAUACGUGGUUGGAGAGCUCAUCUGGAAUUUUGCCGAUUUCAUGACUAACCAGUGUGUCAGUUUCUUGGUCGGGAAUGAAAAUAGUGCCAACCUGUGAUACCUUCACUCUAAUUUUACUUUCUGAGGAAGUUUUCUGUAAUAGUUAUUUGGUGAUAAUUA
rnacentral:lncRNA from 1 species